UGGGGAAUAUUGGACAAUGGGCGCAAGCCUGAUCCAGCCAUGCCGCGUGUGUGAAGAAGGCCUUAUGGUUGUAAAGCACUUUAAGCGAGGAGGAGGCUACUUUAGUUAAUACCUAGAGAUAGUGGACGUUACUCGCAGAAUAAGCACCGGCUAACUCUGUGCCAGCAGCCGCGGUAAUACAGAGGGUGCAAGCGUUAAUCGGAUUUACUGGGCGUAAAGCGCGCGUAGGCGGCUAAUUAAGUCAAAUGUGAAAUCCCCGAGCUUAACUUGGGAAUUGCAUUCGAUACUGGUUAGCUAGAGUGUGGGAGAGGAUGGUAGAAUUCCAGGUGGAGCGGUGAAAUGCGUAGAGAUCUGGAGGAAUACCGAUGGCGAAGGCAGCCAUCUGGCCUAACACUGACGCUGGGGUGCGAAAGCAUGGGGAGCAAACAGG
rnacentral:rRNA from 1 species